rnacentral:rRNA from 1 species
GGGGAAUUUUGGACAAUGGGGUCAACCCUGAUCCAGCCAUGCCGCGUGAGUGAAGAAGGCCUUCGGGUUGUAAAGCUCUUUCGGCCGGGAAGAAAUCGUGCAGGCUAAUACCCUGUAUGGAUGCCGGUACCGGAAUAAGAAGCACCGGCUAACUACGUGCCAGCAGCCGCGGUAAUACGUAGGGUGCGAGCGUUAAUCGGAAUUACUGGGCGUAAAGCGUGCGCAGGCGGUUUUGUAAGACAGGCGUGAAAUCCCCGGGCUCAACCUGGGAACUGCAUCCAUAACUGCCUGACUAGAGUACGGUAGAGGGUGGUGGAAUUUCCUGUGUAGCGGUGAAAUGCGUAGAUAUAGGAACACCGAUGGCGAAGGCAGCCCCCUGGGCCGAUACUGACGCUCAUGCACGAAAGCGUGGGUAGCAAACA